GUUGCCGCUGUGCACGUUGAGCGAGUAGUUGGUCAGGUGCAUGAAGACCUGGCCCAGGUUCUUCUGGCUCGGCUCCUGGUGCACAACAGCGAGGCGUCCUUUCAGUGUGCCUUAACAAACUACCUCCGUGACCAUAAAAGGCGUUGCCGCUGCUGUCGUCAUGCCAACAAUUUGGCUCGUUCACAGUUGCCUGAAAGAGGACUUAGACGAUUGGAUUAAAGUCAAGCUUAUCAUUUCCACUGUUGGAGAGAGUCCCAUAUGGCCCGAGAAUCAAAUGACACCAGGGACGGUCCUGCCAGUGUUUGCAGAAUCCUGCAGAUGGACUUGAGUUGGGAGGGAGCAGCGAUAGGUAACUCGGCUCCAUCGCAAUGGCCGACCGGACUCAAUUAGCAGCUUUGUGAAUAUUUAACAAGUCGCAAUCGGGUUGCAAGUAAUCCCCAAGGUGUCAACACCUCUCAUGCUAGAACUAUUUCUCGAGAUGAGUGUCAACUUGACGACCACGUUUUCAGUUCAAAUGUCCACUCUUGAUUGUACAAACCUCCUUCCACUUGAGCAUCCUGAUGCUGAUCUUGACUCCCUCCAGGGAGGUUUUGGCUUUAGAAGUGUCCACUGUCACCAGCUUCUUCUUCUUGCAGUGUUUGUCUCCAUCCUCCUGGGCGUGGAUGCCAGUCGAAAAGU